rnacentral:rRNA from 1 species
UACGUAGGGGGCUAGCGUUGUCCGGAAUCAUUGGGCGUAAAGCGCGCGUAGGCGGCCAGAUAAGUCCGGUGUGAAAGUCAAAGGCUCAACCUUUGAAUGCCGCUGGAAACUGUCUGGCUCGAGUCCGGGAGGGGCGAGUGGAAUUCCUGGUGUAGCGGUGAAAUGCGCAGAUAUCAGGAGGAACACCGAUGGCGAAGGCAGCUCGCUGGAACGGUACUGACGCUGAGGCGCGAAAGCGUGGGGAGCGAACAGG